UACGGGGGGGGCAAGCGUUGUUCGGAAUUACUGGGCGUAAAGGGCUCGUAGGCGGCCAACUAAGUCAGACGUGAAAUCCCUCGGCUUAACCGGGGAACUGCAUCUGAUACUGGAUGGCUUGAGUUUGGGAGAGGGAUGCGGAAUUCCAGGUGUAGCGGUGAAAUGCGUAGAUAUCUGGAGGAACACCGGUGGCGAAGGCGGCAUCCUGGACCAACACUGACGCUGAGGAGCGAAAGCAUGGGGAGCGAACAGG
rnacentral:rRNA from 1 species